rnacentral:misc_RNA from 1 species
GAUGAAGAACGCAUCGAAAUGCGAUAAGUAAUGUGAAUUGCAGAAUUCAGUGAAUCAUCGAAUCUUUGAACGCACAUUGCGCCCCCUGGUAUUCCGGGGGGCAUGCCUGUUCGAGCGUCAUGUCACCACUCAAGCCUCGCUUGGUAUUGGGCAACGCGGUCCGCCGCGUGCCUCAAAUCGACCGGCUGGGUCUUCUGUCCCCUAAGCGUUGUGGAAACUUUCGCUAAAGGGUGUUCGGGAGGCUACGCCGUAAAACAACCCCAUUUCUAAGGUUGACCUCGGAUCAGGUAGGGAUACCCGCUGAACUUAAGCAUAUCAAUAAGCGGAGGA